rnacentral:rRNA from 1 species
UGGGGAAUAUUGCGCAAUGGGCGAAAGCCUGACGCAGCGACGCCGCGUGAGGGAUGAAGGUUUUCGGAUCGUAAACCUCUGUCAGAAGGGAAGAAACCGCACUGUGCUAAUCAGCAGUGCCUUGACGGUACCUUCAAAGGAAGCACCGGCUAACUCCGUGCCAGCAGCCGCGGUAAUACGGAGGGUGCAAGCGUUAAUCGGAAUUACUGGGCGUAAAGCGCACGUAGGCUGCUUUGUAAGUCAGGGGUGAAAUCCCACGGCUCAACCGUGGAACUGCCUUUGAUACUGCUUAGCUUGAAGCCGGGAGAGGGUGGCGGAAUUCCAGGUGUAGGAGUGAAAUCCGUAGAUAUCUGGAGGAAAAUCAGUGGCGAAGGCGGCCACCUGGACCGGUAUUGACGCUGAGGUGCGAAAGCGUGGGGAACAAACAGG